UCAACCUUGACUAGUUAGCAUGUUCUUGGCGCAUAUCUCGUACAUGCACAGGCAGAAAUGACUAAGGACAUGCUCGUCCAUCGUCUGGCACUGAGCUUCGCUCGUGCGCACAGAUUCCAAUUUUCAAGCUUGACACUAGCCUAGUGUUUGUCAUGGUGUACACGACUGAUGCUUUGACAGAUUAGAGAACUUGUUUUAAGUCUUGGCUGCUGUAUAGUUGUGUCCGUCAUAUAAUGCGUUCAAGUAUCUCAUAGCAUUGCGAAAUAUUGUCCUCAUAACAAAGAUAUUAUCCAGCAGUGGCGGACGCAGGAUAUAUACUAAUACUAAUAAGGAUGUUCAAUUUGCAUGCUAUUUUAUUUAUGGUUCUUAUGUUUAGAUAAUUAUUUACGCUAUUUUUGCUGGAGUUACUAAUGCUCUUUUGCUUUUGUUGACUACACUGGGUAGUUGUUGUUGUAAUAAGGGUGUUCACAGAUC
rnacentral:lncRNA from 1 species